CCUACGGGAGGCAGCAGUAGGGAAUAUUGGUCAAUGGGGGAAACCCUGAACCAGCGACGCCGCGUGAGUGAAGAAGUAUUUCGGUAUGUAAAGCUCUAUCAGCAGGGACGAUAAUGACGGUACCUGACUAAGAAGCCCCGGCUAACUACGUGCCAGCAGCCGCGGUAAU
rnacentral:rRNA from 2 species